rnacentral:rRNA from 2 species
UGCUUACCAUGCAGUCGAACGAUGAAGCCCAGCUUGCUGGGUGGAUUAGUGGCGAACGGGUGAGUAACACGUGAGUAACCUGCCCUUAACUCUGGGAUAAGCCUGGGAAACUGGGUCUAAUACCGGAUAGGAGCGUCCACCGCAUGGUGGGUGUUGGAAAGAUUUAUCGGUUUUGGAUGGACUCGCGGCCUAUCAGCUUGUUGGUGAGGUAAUGGCUCACCAAGGCGACGACGGGUAGCCGGCCUGAGAGGGUGACCGGCCACACUGGGACUGAGACACGGCCCAGACUCCUACGGGAGGCAGCAGUGGGGAAUAUUGCACAAUGGGCGCAAGCCUGAUGCAGCGACGCCGCGUGAGGGAUGACGGCCUUCGGGUUGUAAACCUCUUUCAGUAGGGAAGAAGCGAAAGUGACGGUACCUGCAGAAGAAGCACCGGCUAACUACGUGCCAGCAGCCGCGGUAAUACGUAGGGUGCGAGCGUUAUCCGGAAUUAUUGGGCGUAAAGAGCUCGUAGGCGGUUUGUCGCGUCUGUCGUGAAAGUCCGGGGCUUAACCCCGGAUCUGCGGUGGGUACGGGCAGACUAGAGUGCAGUAGGGGAGACUGGAAUUCCUGGUGUAGCGGUGGAAUGCGCAGAUAUCAGGAGGAACACCGAUGGCGAAGGCAGGUCUCUGGGCUGUAACUGACGCUGAGGAGCGAAAGCAUGGGGAGCGAACAGGAUUAGAUACCCUGGUAGUCCAUGCCGUAAACGUUGGGCACUAGGUGUGGGGACCAUUCCACGGUUUCCGCGCCGCAGCUAACGCAUUAAGUGCCCCGCCUGGGGAGUACGGCCGCAAGGCUAAAACUCAAAGGAAUUGACGGGGGCCCGCACAAGCGGCGGAGCAUGCGGAUUAAUUCGAUGCAACGCGAAGAACCUUACCAAGGCUUGACAUGUUCUCGAUCGCCGUAGAGAUACGGUUUCCCCUUUGGGGCGGGUUCACAGGUGGUGCAUGGGUUGUCGUCAGCUCGUGUCGUGAGAUGUUGGGUUAAGUCCCGCAC